CCCACCUGCUCUGUCCUCCCCUCUCCUGCACUCUGGAUCCAGCCCUGACCAGACCUCCCCCCUGCCUCCCUCACCUUGGACCUCCUGCCUGCUCCUGGUGGAGGGUCUCUGCCUGCCGUGUGCCCCCUUUGGCUCCGGAAAACACCCCGCCUGUCGCCCCCCGAUGGAACGAGGCCCUCCUGCCCGCUCUCCACUGCCGAUCCACCCCACGGAGGACGCCAACCGGGCCGCCGGUUCCUGAUGAAACAGGAAGUACCGUCCAACUUGGUUGAUGAGUUACCAUCUCCCCGAUGAGCCCUGGAGUAUCUGAAACGUCUCAGCAGGAGCCCAGUGCCGUCCUGGCAGCAGCAGAAACUCUCUCUCUCUCUCUCUCUCUCUCAGGUUGGACAGCUUGUUCAAGUCGAAUGCUAUUAGUUGUGGGUCAGCGCCUGGGCUUUCUCUACACCCCAACAACACCUUUUCACCAGCCAGGGAUUCCAGCCACCAUUAAUCAGAGUGGUGACAGCCCAUGGAUCUGACGGGGGGAUGAGAGCUGGCCACCGUCGAGGCUGCUGUGAGCGUUCAGAGGGUGACGUGUCGGCAGAGGGCCAGUUGGAGAGGAGGGUGGCCGUCUCAGAUACCUGCUGGUGUCCAGAGACAGCUGUAACGUAGCCACCCGUGGUCCAGCAAUCAGGUUGGUGGCCGCUGAAUGCUGAUAAAGCCGCUUUUCUCGGCCUGGCAGACGGAGCUGAGGCAUUUCUCAAGAAGAUAAAGUCAGACCGGAGCCAGAGGAGUAAACAGGGAGCGGGAGGAGACACGACAAAGAGAAGCGAGAGGCCGAGAUGAGGAGAUAAACCGAGACAGAGAACAAAUGGUGACCUUUGCAGAGAUGGAUUUGUUUACCAACAAAUGUUCUGGCUGUCAACACCUGCUCCAGAGUGACCUUCACAUGGAGACGGAGCCGACGUCUCUCAUCUGUUCAUCUCUGCAGCCUCUCAUCAAGUCUGAUCAGCUCAGCCUGUUUCUGAGCUCCUUUAUUCUGCUGCAUUCAGUCAGGUUCCAGCUGUCAGCAUGGAGGCCCAAACCU